rnacentral:piRNA from 1 species
AGUUUACGAGAGGUGGCUCAUCC